rfam:Macaca mulatta chromosome 1, whole genome shotgun sequence.
AGGCUUUGGUUUCUCUUCAGAACGAAUACAUCUUUUGCCUUUUACUGCAGAUUUCCGUGGAGAGUAACAGCUGUUAGUAACUUUUUUUUUUUUUUUU